AGCAGCCGCGGUAAUUCCAGCUCCAAUAGCGUAUAUUAAAGUUGUUGCAGUUAAAAAGCUCGUAGUUGAAUUUCGGGAUCAAGGCGUCGGUCGUGCUUAGGUACGUACUGGCGUAAUUGAUUUCUCCCUUCUGACGAACCAUGAUGUCAUUAAUUUGGUGUUAUGGGAAAUCAGGACUGUUACUUUGAAAAAAUUAGAGUGUUUAAAGCAGGCUCACGCUUGAAUACAUUAGCAUGGAAUAAUGAAAUAGGACGUUCGAUCCUAUUUUGUUGGUUUUAGGAUCAACGUAAUGAUUAAUAGGGAUAGUUGGGGGCAUUAGUAUUCAAUUGUCAGAGGUGAAAUUCUUGGAUUUAUUGAAGACUAACUACUGCGAAAGCAUUUGCCAAGGAUGUUUUCAUUAAUCAAGAACGAAAGUUAGGGGAUCGAAGACGAUCAGAUACCGUCGUAGUCUUAACCAUAAACUAUGCCGACUAGGGAUCGGAUGAUGUUAAUUUUUUAAUGACUCAUUCGGCGCCUUACG
rnacentral:rRNA from 1 species